CGUUUCGUUUAUUUCGUUGGUUGUUCCGUGUUAUGGGUCAAACUAAUCGUUUAAAUAAUUCUAGUUUUGUGCACCGAUUGAUGUCUUGUUCUAUUUCAGCUCCGUACUUGGUCCAUCGACAAAUAGUAAAAACGUCGUCAAGCGUACCUGGCCGAACCCCGCUGCCGCCAGAUACAUACACAGCGACUGUACCCGACGGCAUAAAUGAAUGGUGUAUUGCCAUUCAUUUGGUUUUGGAACGAGCAUUUGGUGUGCGGCGAUAUGUUUCGAAUCAGUUCAAACAUUAUAAAGGUUAGACGAGUGCUGGAUGACUUGGAAUUGAAUGAGAACGAUGUGCGCAGCAACUGCCAGGGAAUCCAGCCAACCAACUGGACAAAGAGAACACAAGCUUGUCAUGGUGGGACUGGACAACGCCGACAAGACGACCAUUCUGUACCAGUUUGUGAUGAACGAGGUGGUUCACACGACCGAUCGGAUCGAACGUGGAAGAGGUACGCACGCAGUUUACCAGAUGACCAGUGGCCACUUCGU